rnacentral:misc_RNA from 1 species
GGAAGUAAAAGUCGUAACAAAGGUUUCCGUAGGUGAACCUGCGGAAGGAUCAUUAUUGUAUAACCGAGGUGCGAGGGCUGUCGCUGACCCGAAAGGUCGUGCACGCCCGAGUGCCCUCACACACAUCCAUCUCACCCCUAUGUGCACCACCGCGUGGGUCCCCCUUUGGCUUGUUCGGAGGGGGGCUUACGUUUUCACACAAACUUUGUAUGCAGUGUAGAAUGUAUUUUUUGUUUUUGCGAUCACGCAAUCAAUACAACUUUCAACAACGGAUCUCUUGGCUCUC